rnacentral:rRNA from 1 species
AACGAACGCUGGCGGCAUGCCUAACACAUGCCAGUCGAACGAGACCUUCGGGUCUAGUGGCGCACGGGUGCGUAACGCGUGGGAACCUGCCCUUAGGUUCGGAAUAACUCCCCGAAAGGGGUGCUAAUACCGGAUAAUGUCUUCGGACCAAAGAUGUAUCGUCUUUGGAUGGGCCCGCGUUGGAUUAGCUAGUUGGUAGGGUAAAAGCCUACAAAGGCGACGAUCGAUAGCUGGUCUGAGAGGGUGACCGGCCACAAUGGGACGGAGAAACGGCCCAGACUCCACCGGGAGGCAGUAGUGGGGAAUAUUGUAGAAUGGGCGGCAGCCUGAUGCAGCGACGCCGCGUGAGGGAUGACGGCCUUCGGGUUGUAAACCUAUUUCAGUAGGGAAGAAGCGAGAGGGAAGGUACCGGCAGAAGAAGCGCCGGCUAACUACGUG